GACGAACGCUGGCGGCGUGCCUAAUACAUGCAAGUCGAGCGGAUCUCUGAUGGAGCUUGCUCCUGAUGAGGUUAGCGGCGGACGGGUGAGUAACACGUAGGCAACCUGCCUGCAAGCCUGGGAUAACAUCCGGAAACGGAUGCUAAGACCGGAUACGCAGUUUGGUCGCAUGACUAAGCUGGGAAAGACGGAGCAAUAUGUCGCUUGCAGAUGGGCCUGCGGCGCAUUCGCUAGUUGGUGAGGUAACGGCCCACCAAGGCGACGAUGCGUAGCCGACCUGAGAGGGUGAACGGCCACACUGGGACUGAGACACGGCCCAGACUCCUACGGGAGGCAGCAGUAGGGAAUCUUCCACAAUGGACGCAAGUCUGAUGGAGCAACGCCGCGUGAGUGAGGAAGGCCUUCGGGUCGUAAAGCUCUGUUGCCAGGGAAGAACGCCUAGGGGAGUAACUGCUCUUAGGGUGACGGUACCUGAGAAGAAAGCCCCGGCUAACUACGUGCCAGCCGCCGCCGUAAGAC
rnacentral:rRNA from 1 species